rnacentral:rRNA from 1 species
AUUGAACGCUGGCGGAAUGCUUUACACAUGCAAGUCGAACGGCAGCACGGGGCAACCUGGUGGCGAGUGGCGAACGGGUGAGUAAUACAUCGGAACGUGCCCAAUCGUGGGGAUAACGUAGCGAAAGUUACGCUAAUACCGCAUACGAUCUACGGAUGAAAGCGGGGGAUCGCAAGACCUCGCGCGAAUGGAGCGGCCGAUGUCAGAUUAGGUAGUUGGUGGGGUAAAGGCUCACCAAGCCGACGAUCUGUAGCUGGUCUGAGAGGACGACCAGCCACACUGGGACUGAGACACGGCCCAGACUCCUACGGGAGGCAGCAGUGGGGAAUUUUGGACAAUGGGCGCAAGCCUGAUCCAGCCAUUCCGCGUGCAGGAUGAAGGCCUUCGGUGUAACUGCUUUGUACGGUAACGAAACGGUUCUCUCUAAUACAGGGGCUAAUAGACGGUACCGUAAGGAAUAAGGACACCGGCUAACUACGUAGCCAGCAGCCGCGGUAA